rnacentral:misc_RNA from 1 species
UCUCCGUUGGUGAACCAGCGGAGGGAUCAUUACAGAGUUGCAAAACUCCCUAAACCAUUUGUGAACCUACCCCUAAAACAGUUGCUUCGGCGGCGCCCUGACCGGCCCGCCGGAGACCACCAAACUCUUGAUAAUUUAUGGCCUCUCUGAGUCUUCUGUACUGAAUAAGUCAAAACUUUCAACAACGGAUCUCUUGGUUCUG